AUUAUAAGUAGUGUGCUGUAAUGAUUAGUUCUUCUGUCAAUUUUUGCAUUAAAACUAAGCAUUUUAAUAUGUGAAAUUAUAUACAUACAAACAUAUUGAGAUGGUUAAUGUUGAUUGUAAAUAUUAACAGGAUCUAGAAUGACAAAGAGACAAUCCUCUGAGCAUGUCUGUGAGUGAUUUUUUUUUAUAUGUUUAAUCGAAGUGGGAAGAUCCACCCUAAAUGUGGGUAGUACUAUCCAUGGGUUGGGAUCUUGGACUGAACAAAAAGGAGCAAGCACGCUAAGUACCAGUGUUUAUUGCUUUCUGCUUGCUGACUGAGGACACAAUGUGACCAGCAAUUUCACACUCCUGCCAUGAUGAACUUCCCCUGGAACUCAUGCCAAGUUGAUGCAUGUUACCUCAUGAUUAACGUACCGUACAGUACCAAGACUUACUUACUUACAGAAGAGAAAGCCCAGGUCUUGAGAAGUUAAGUAGCUGCCAGGGAGGAUCACGUGGAGCUCAUGCCACUGAAGGAGGAGCCAGCUGACCUUUGACGCCCCAGUUCACCUCACCCAUUGGCUGCACUUGACUGUGACAUCAUCUCCUCUCAGGACAAGGAAUGAUCUGGCUUCCCUGCCUUUUUCACUCCCAAUUCCCGAUGGAAGAGUGGACUAAUUCAAGGAGCCCUUUCGUGAAGCAACAGGCUUACGUGUAGCCAUGGUGGACAAAGCCAGUGUAGAGCAUUAUCCUACAGAAGAACUCAUACAAGUGCCCUACGACGAAUGUGUGGGAAGCACUGCAGAGCUGUUUAUAGGAACAAAAAUAUUAAAACCGUGAUGCAUCAAUAA